rnacentral:rRNA from 1 species
AUUGAACGCUGGCGGCAUGCCUUACACAUGCAAGUCGAACGGUAACAGGGAGCUUGCUCCGCUGACGAGUGGCGAACGGGUGAGUAAUGUAUCGGAACGUACCUUUUAGUGGGGGAUAACGUAGCGAAAGUUACGCUAAUACCGCAUAUUCUCUGAGGAGGAAAGCAGGGGACGUUCGGGCCUUGCGCUAAUAGAGCGGCUGAUAUCAGAUUAGCUAGUUGGUGAGGUAAAGGCUCACCAAGGCGACGAUCUGUAGCGGGUCUGAGAGGAUGAUCCGCCACACUGGAACUGAGACACGGUCCAGACUCCUACGGGAGGCAGCAGUGGGGAAUUUUGGACAAUGGGGGCAACCCUGAUCCAGCCAUGCCGCGUGAGUGAAGGAGGCCUUCGGGUUGUAAAGCUCUUUCGGCCGGGAAAAAAUCGCAUGGGUUAAUACCCUGUGUGGAUGAUGGUACCGGAAUAAGAAGCACCGGCUAACUACGUGCCAGCCGCCGCGGUAA